rnacentral:rRNA from 1 species
UACGUAGGCAGCGAGCGUUGUUCGGAGUUACUGGGCGUAAAGGGUGUGUAGGCGGUUUUCUAAGUUUGGUGUGAAAUCUCCCGGCUUAACCGGGAGGGUGCGCCGAAAACUGGGAGACUAGAGUGCGGGAUGGGAGAGUAGAAUUCCUGGUGUAGCGGUGAAAUGCGUAGAUAUUAGGAAGAACACCAGUGGCGAAGGCGACUUUCUGGCUCGUAACUGACGCUGAGGCGCGAAAGCGUGGGGAGCAAACAGG